UACGGGGGGGAGCAAGCGUUUGUUCGGAUUUACUGGGCGUAAAGGGCGCGUAGGCGGUCGUGACAAGUCACUUGUGAAAUCUCCGGGCUUAACUCGGAACGGUCAAGUGAUACUGUCGGACUAGAGUACAGAAGGGGCAACUGGAAUUCUCGGUGUAGCGGUGAAAUGCGUAGAGAUUGGAAAGAACACCGAUGGCGAAGGCACUUUACUGGGCUAUUACUAACACUCAGAGACGAAAGCUAGGGUAGCAAAUGGG
rnacentral:rRNA from 1 species